UGUGUACUCCUUCCGUUCCAAAAUACUUGACUUCCAUUUGUCCAAAAAUGGAUGUACCUAUAUACUAAAACAUGUCUAGAUACAUAUAUAUUUUGACAAAUAGAAGGCAUGUAUUGUGCAACGGAGGGAGUAGAAU
rnacentral:pre_miRNA from 1 species